rnacentral:rRNA from 1 species
UACGAAGGGGGCUAGCGUUGCUCGGAAUCACUGGGCGUAAAGGGUGCGUAGGCGGGUCUUUUAAGUCAGGGGUGAAAUUCUGGAGCUCAACUCCAGAACUGCCUUUGAUACUGAAGAUCUUGAGUUCGGGAGAGGUGAGUGGAACUGCGAGUGUAGAGGUGAAAUUCGUAGAUAUUCGCAAGAACACCAGUGGCGAAGGCGGCGACCUGGUCCGAUACUGACGCUGAGGCGCGAAAAGCGUGGGGAGCAAACAGG